UUUUCUUGAAGAGAUCUCUAGUCUUUCCCAUUCUGAUGUUUUCCUCUAUUGCUCUGCAUUGAUCGCUGAAGAAGUAGCACAAAGUAGUGCUCAUCAAGUAUUUCUAAAUUGAAUUGUGUGUAUGUUAAACAUUUUGUCCAAAUAAAAUCUAUUUCUGUACUUCACUGGAAAAAUUAUUGUAGACCGUGAUAAUCUCCAGCAGAAAAGAACCGAUUUUUCAACUUGAGCUUUUCAAAGUGACAUUUCUUGGCAACAAAACACAAGUUGAGUUUUCUGACAAGGGUUUCAGAGUAAUCUGUUCUUCCCCAAGUCUUACUGUUCUCCAGAGAACAUUCUCAGAUAAUAGGUGGAUCUCAUCUAUGUUUCUGCUGAUCUAAACUUUGAAUGAGCUAGAAUCUUUGGAGGGUUUAAUGUGGUUGGAAGAACAAGAAAGAUGUCCUUCAGCUCAGUUCAGUUCAGUCACUCAGUCGUGUCCGACUCUUUGUGACCCCAUGAAUCACAGCACGCCAGGCCUCCCUGUCCAUCACCAACUCCCGGAGUUCUAUUUCACCUUCAACAUUAAAAGAGCACCAGCUCAUACCAUAAGGUACUUUACUGUAUGCUCCAGAAAUCCCAGAAACUUUAUUUUUACACCCUACCCUACUCCCAUUUUCUUGAAGCUUGAAUCACUCAGAUACUUAGUGCUACAGAAUCAGCUUAGAAGAGACCUUGAGGGGGUCCAUGAAGCCCACAGCUGUUUCCCAACAUUAUUAAGGCAUAUGUUUGCCUAAAGCCAAUUCCAACUGCUGGAAUGUUCUAAGACAAAUGCUUCAUAAUCAGAACAGGCCAUUUGCUGUUUACAAUGCAUCUGGAAAGUGCUGAUACCUCCACUGUGCAGACUGCCUCAUUGUUAGUAUGGGAGUUAUAUUCUAAACAUUCUUGCCUUGAAAAGUUAUCUCUUUAAUGAUACAUAUUCUAUAAAGAUGGUGGAUUAUAAAAUUGGACAUUGGAGAUAAGGAUAAUCAUUACUAUAAACUUAAUAAUAGAAAAAUCACGUAUCAGUGUUGUCAUGAUUUUGAUAUAUUUGAAAGGAUGUGGUACAGUGAGCUGUCCUUUAAUGAAAGCAAACAAAAUGAAAUAGAUUUGUUUCUUUUUUCCCCUCUAAAUUCUGCUCAACAUUCCUUCCCUGGUGGCUCAGAGGUUAAAGCAUCCGCCUGCAGUGCAGGAGACCUGGGUUUGAUCCCUGGGUCAGGAAGAU
rnacentral:lncRNA from 1 species